AAGCCAUGAUGUAGACAUUACCUUUGGAGUUCCUUAAAUCUCUCCGAAGCUGAAUAGAUUGUCUCACUUCCAUUUUGCUUAAAAGUAGUGAUCUCAUUGCAAAAAUAU
rfam:Ricinus communis cultivar Hale ctg_1100012360574, whole genome shotgun sequence.